rnacentral:misc_RNA from 1 species
AAGUCGUAACAAGGUUUCCGUAGGUGAACCUGCGGAAGGAUCAUUACAGUGUCUUGGAGGCCGACCCUCUGGUGCUUCCCCCACGGGAGCAUCGGGGCUCGUGCCCCCUCCACACGUGUUUACUACACUCUGUUGCCUUGGUGGGUCUGCCCUUGUGGCUGCCGGGGGUCGCCGCGUGCGUCCCGGGCCCGUACCCGCCAAUGGACAUCCUGAACUCUUUGAAUAUAGUGUUGUCUGAGCGUAUAGCGAAUUAAACAAAACUUUCAACAAUGGAUCUCUUGGUUCUG